UACGAAGGGGGCUAGCGUUGCUCGGAAUUACUGGGCGUAAAGCGCACGUAGGCGGAUCUUUAAGUCAGGGGUGAAAUCCUGGAGCUCAACUCCAGAACUGCCUUUGAUACUGAGGACCUUGAGUUCGGGAGAGGUGAGUGGAACUGCGAGUGUAGAGGUGAAAAUUCGUAGAUAUUCGCAAGAACACCAGUGGCGAAGGCGGCUCACUGGCCCGAUCUGACGCUGAGGUGCGAAAGCG
rnacentral:rRNA from 1 species